rnacentral:piRNA from 1 species
CCUUUAGCUUAGAUGAAGGUGAAAACAAGGU